GCCAGCUUGGCGUAGUGGUUUGACUGUUGGACUCUGACUCCAGAGACCAGGGUUCAAAUCCCACCUCAGGCA